CCCCUCCUCUCUCUCUCUCUCUCUCCUCUUCUUCCUCUUUUGCUCUUUCUCUUUCAAUCAUAUCGAUCGCUUCUCUAUUUCAAUUUGGAUGGAAGAUUCCUCCUCAUGAUCUCUGCCGGAAUUGUUUGAUCGGAGCUUUCCUCGGCACAGGUUGUUUCUCUAGGAAAUCAUGGAUAAUGUGUGUUCCAUGGGCUGCUGCUAUGGAGGUCUCCAUAUCCGUGCUACUCGUGAUCUUCGCAUUACUACCAUGUGCUUCAAUAUCUCUUUGGAGAGACUGGUAACUCAAAUGUUUGAAUUGGGGAUGCCUUUGGUAGGUACAUAGCACUAGGUUCUUCAAAUGCUUGAGAUUCGUUAGAAAUCUUAGUGGGCUAUCCGUGACGAGAUCCUUGGUUGGUUCAUUUGAAGAAUCUACUGUCUGGUCGGUUCUUAUCAGGGAAGCCCUGUCAGAGAAUUGAUGGUUUUCUGGGUGUACUAUUACUGGGUGAAACUUCUCACCGCGAUCACAAAAGCUUCCUUUUUCAGUAACUAGUGUAGAAGGAGCUUGCUAGUUAUUGUAUCAUGCAUCCAUAAAUAUUGCCGGAAAUUCAGCAUUGAAUAGGAGUGGAGGACAAAAGCUGAAACGGGGACUAUGUAAUGAUGAUUCACAGAUUGUCAAGAGCCGCCUGCGCAUUCCUGUCAAGGGCCGGAUACAGCUGGUUCUAAGUAAUCCUGAAAAGACACCGAUUCAUACUUUCCUUUGCAACUAUGAUUUAAGAGACAUGCCGGCUGGUACCAAAACCUUCUUGCGCCAGAAGGUGACGUUAGCGUCUACCCCGACGUCCACUCAGCUGAGACAUGAGGAGACAGAUAUUGAUUCGAAAGUCAUAGACACAAGAGUACAGAAAGCAGCUGCAGUAGAGUAUACAACAAGAUCACUAGCUCAGAGAACUGAAUUUAAAAGUGAAUGCUCCAAUUUGAUAGAUUUAAUAGUUGAGGGUGAUAUGUCCAAGCUAUCCCCUAAAACAGAAAGGGUAGGAAUUCCUUGUUUCGUGGGGGUUGAGAAGAGGUUCAAUGGUGGUAAGGAGUGCCUGUGCAAUGAUGACAAGGACCACAACUGGGUUGAUGCACGCCAUGAAACUGACAGGAAACAAGCGGUUGGUUGUUCAAGAGUAAAUCAAAAAAAGAAUAGUGCGCUCUUCGUUAUGCACUGCAUCUCCGUUUCAUUUGCCCUCUUCCUCGAAAAGGUUCCAGGUCAGUUCAGAGAUGCAAAUCAGAUCCCUUGUGUGGAAUACAAAGAAGAAACUUAGAUAUGGAAGGGGAGCGGAGAUUCUCUACAAUGACUUGAGGGUUGUAUUCCCUCAGUGCCAGUCAGAUGCUGAUGAGGGCAAGUUAAACGUGGAAUACCAUUUCCCAGAGGAUCCAAAAUACUUCGACAUCGAGUGAAACGUAACUGAACUGACAACAUGCUCUGUUAUUUGUAUCCUUGAAUCUGCUUAUCUGGGUGUACAUAUAUUCACAUAUGGUUUCGUUUGCCAUGACUUGAUCUUUAGUCCUUGUUCCACCUUGUACAGAAUCAUAGUACUAAUAAUUGAGUUUUCAGAAAG